rnacentral:sRNA from 1 species
ACCUAUAUAUUUCUUAACACAUUUGCAAAUCCUAGUAUUAGACCACUGUGACUCACAUAGAGCAUGUGUAGGUUUUUUCCUUUGUUAAAAAUGAACAUAAUUAUGAUUUAACCACAUGGAAGUUACUGUUUAAUGUUAAUAUUAUAAUGAUACCAGAAGAUACAUUUAAAAUGUCAUUAUUUACCUUUUAGUUAUCCAAGCAUUAGGUGAACAUCUUAAAUUAAGACAACAAGUUAUUGCCACUGCUACGGUAUAUUUCAAGAGAUUCUAUGCCAGGUAUUCUCUGAAAAGUAUAGAUCCUGUAUUAAUGGCUCCUACAUGUGUGUUUUUGGCAUCCAAAGUAGAGGAAUUUGGAGUAGUUUCAAAUACAAGAUUGAUUGCUGCUGCUACUUCUGUAUGUAAGUGCAAAAAGUAUAUCUGCUUUAAGGAUGUAAUUCUAAAGAAAGCUUCAGAGUACAUAUUUUUUUUUUUUAGUUUA